GACGAACGCUGGCGGCGUGCUUAACACAUGCAAGUCGAGCGGAAAGGCCUGCUUUCCCUUGUGGAUUGCGGGUACUCGCGUGGCGAACGGGUGAGUAACACGUGCGUGAUCUGCCCCCAACUUGGGUAUAAGCCUGGGCUACUGGGUCUAAUUCCCGCUAGGACUGCAGUGUGGUGCCUGUGGUGGAAAACGAUUGUCUAGUGGUUGGGGCUGAGCUGUUGGCCUAUCAGCUUGUUGGUUGGGUAAUGGCCUACCAAGGCUGGGACGGGUAGCCUGCCUGGGGGAGUGGGCGGGCACAGUGGGACUGAGAUACGGCGCAGAAGCCUACGGGAGGAAGCAGUGGGGAGUAAGGCACAAGGGGCGGAGGCCUGAGGCAGGAACGCCGCGUGGGGAAUGACGGGCUUGGGAUGAUAGACUCCUGUCGGUCGCGAGGAAGCCACCGGGUUGGAAGGGGGGUGACGGUAGUGGUAGAAGAAGCACCGGCUAACUACGUG
rnacentral:rRNA from 1 species